UCUAUAACUUGAUCAGGUUGGUGGUUGCUUAAUGAGCUGUUUACUUACAUUUGUUAUAAGCAAAUUACACCUCAAUCAGACAAGAAAACAAGUGAGAAGUUUGCCUGCUUUACCCCCUGGUGAUCUGAAGAUUGGAGAGUUACUGUUCCUCUUUACAUUUUGUGAGAUAAGCAGUGAAGGCUAAGAAGGCAUCUAGUACUUACAGGCGUCGUUACAGGACAUUAAAAUAUUUUAUCAUGAUUUCUAGGGGAUGAAAUAUUAAAUUUGAACAUUUUCAAAUGCUUAACCCUCAAAAUAGAUCAUCUAUAAGAAAAGAAAUGUUAAAAGACAGAUCUCAUGAAGACCUGAACUUACUUAACUAUAACAGUUUUAUGAGAUGUGUGUGAAUGUUCUUCCUAUGAAAGGUUUUAAAAACAUUUCUAGACCCUUUUGUGAUCCACUUGCUACGUGAAUGGAAGCUUGAAAGAAUUGCUGCUAUGACCACCCAAGCUUCUUUCAAAUUUCUGAGGACCAGCCUUCCUGUGUAAUUCAGUGUUUGAUAUUCAGAUUGUUCUAUUCCUACACGACAACACUUUGAUCGCUUUCAGAAAAACUGAACUGCUCUAAGAGUUAGAACUGAACCUUUCUUCCUGGAUUCCCCAAACUCAUACAAUAACCCCAGUGACAGGUCCUAAUCCACGUGAUUGGGAUGCACCACAGAGGAUAAAGCAAACAGAGGCCCUGGCAGCAUGAAGAUUAAAGACCAAAAGUGAGGAACUACUGAAAGCAGAUAUAUUACUAAACACAUAAUAUGAAUUACAAUUUAGUAAACUUAGAGAUAGAUAUUA